GUUACCAGUGCUUAGGUGUUUUCCCUCCCUGUGGGAUGUGGCAUCUGGGCUAUAUCUUGACUCUUAAUGCAGAUUCAGCUGCUGGGCUCCUGAUUCGCAGCAUUCAUCUUGUCACCCCAAGACUCAACUCCGUGUGGCAGCGGGCAUGAGCAUAUCACUGACAGUUCUAGAGCUCCUCUCUGGCCUGGCAAAGAUUGCAUUGUUUCCCCUUUUUGCUGCUGUGGAGCCAGUGUUAAAUACUAUUCAAGAUUCUGCAGUAUUAGAAGCCAUUGGUUGCCAAAUGGAAAUGGGUCGUGGAGAAGACAACAUGAAGGGUCCUAGUGGCACUGAUAGUGGUACUGGUUCAGCAAGUGGUGGGAGCACAGAGCCCACGACUCCUGGCACUGAGAGGCCCGCUCAACUCUCCUAAGGGAUCAUGGGAAGCUGUGUUAAAAAAGAAUAAAAAUAAAAUUUUACAAAAUUACCUUUAUUCUUUUAUUU